UACGUAGGGGGCAAGCGUUGUCCGGAAUCAUUGGGCGUAAGGAGCGUGUAGGCGGCUUGGCAAGUCCGCUGUGAAAGUCCAGGGCUCAACCCUGGAAUGCCGGUGGAAACUGUCAAGCUUGAGUCCGGAAGAGGCGAGUGGAAUUCCUGGUGUAGCGGUGAAAUGCGCAGAUAUCAGGAGGAACACCAAUGGCGAAGGCAGCUCGCUGGGACGGUACUGACGCUGAGACGCGAAAGCGUGGGGAGCAAACAGG
rnacentral:rRNA from 1 species